rnacentral:rRNA from 1 species
UAUUGCGCAAUGGGCGAAAGCCUGNGCAGCGACGCCGCGUGCGGGAUGAAGGCCUUCGGGUUGUAAACCGCUUUCAGCAGGGACGAAGCGAAAGUGACGGUACCUGCAGAAGAAGCGCCGGCUAACUACGUGCCAGCAGCCGCGGUAACACGUAGGGCGCGAGCGUUGUCCGGAAUUAUUGGGCGUAAAGAGCUCGUAGGUGGUCCGCUACGUCUGUUGUGAAAAUCCAGGGCUUAACCCUGGACUUGCUGCGGAUACGGGUGGACUAGAGGUAGGUAGGGGAGAAUGGAAUUCCCGGUGUAGCGGUGAAAUGCGCAGAUAUCGGGAGGAACACCGGUGGCGAGGGCGGUUCUCUGGGCCUUACCUGACACUGAGGAGCGAAAGCGUGGGGAGCGAACAGGAUUAGAUACCCUGGUAGUCCACGCCGUAAACGUUGGGCGCUAGGUGUGGGGUCCUUCCACGGAUUCCGUGCCGCAGCUAACGCAUUAAGCGCCCCGCCUGGGGAGUACGGCCGCAAGGCUAAAACUCAAAAAAAUUGACGGA